rnacentral:rRNA from 1 species
CAGUAGCCGCGGGAAUACGAAGGGUGCAAGCGUUAAUCGGAAUUACUGGGCGUAAAGCGUGCGUAGGCGGUUUGUUAAGUCUGUUGUGAAAUCCCCGGGCUCAACCUGGGAAUGGCAAUGGAUACUGGCAAGCUAGAGUGUGUCAGAGGAUGGUGGAAUUCCCGGUGUAGCGGUGAAAUGCGUAGAGAUCGGGAGGAACAUCAGGGGCGAAGGCGGCCAUCUGGGACAACACUGACGCUGAGGCACGAACGCGUGGGGAGCAAACAGGAUUAGAUACCCGCGUAGUCCCUGUCUCUUAUAA